rnacentral:lncRNA from 1 species
AAACAGCAGCAGCUGGAAGUCAAGAGGAGUGCUCUGUGGAGGAACACACCCACAGGCACCAGCAUGCCGGCAGGCCACUGACUGGCAAAACAACGCGGUGUUUGGCUGGGGCAGUCGGAGGAGCGCUCGGGCCGCCAAGCAGACCGACUCCAGGGAAAACCAUCUCCCUUCUGGCUCCCCCAUCUGCUAAGAGCCAUGUAAGAUAUGCCUGCUUCCCCUUUGCCUUCUGCCGUGAUUGAAAGCUUCCUGAGGCCUCCCCAGAAGGCAAGCAGAUGCCAACAUCAUGCUUCCUGUACAGCCUGUGGAACUGCCCUCCCCUCUGCUUCUCACUGGUCCUGAGUGUGUCCUGGAAUAACAUGUGGGCUGUGCUAUCCGGUGUUGUGUGUGUCACAGAUGCAAUUCAAAAUCCUAAGGCUGGAAAACCAUUACUUAAAAAAAAAAAAAAAAAAAGACUAGCCAGCCUGCUUUCUGAGCAUCUACUUGAUAGCAAGAGGGCCUCAUGCUCAACCCCUCCGUGCUGGGAAGGAAGCAUUCCCCUCAUCAAGGACUGCGGCUCUCUGGAAUAAGCAACGUGUGUUCCCUCUUGGGGGUCAGCCAAGGCCCUGAACAUCACAAACUCCUCCUCCACCUC